CGGACGGGUGAGUAACGCGUGGAAAACCUGCCGUAUACUGGGGGAUAACACUUAGAAAUAGGUGCUAAUACCGCAUAAGCGCACAGCUUCGCAUGAAGCGGUGUGAAAAACUCUGGUGGUAUACGAUGGUUCCGCGUCUGAUUAGCUAGUUGGUGGGAUAAUGGCCUACCAAGGCAACGAUCAGUAGCCGGCCUGAGAGGGUGAACGGCCACAUUGGGACUGAGACACGGCCCAAACUCCUACGGAAGGCAGCAG
rnacentral:rRNA from 1 species